rnacentral:ncRNA from 1 species
CUUUGGUGCGUCAAAAGUUAAGGGAAGCCAAGUGAAAAUCUUGCACUGUACCCGCAGCUGUAACGUUCUGUUAAUGAUGUAGUUAAUCUAUCCACUGUAAUGAUAUUAAAAGUCGAUACGGGAAGGAAACCACAUCAGGAACUAAGUCAGAAGACCUACUUAUGUC